GACGAAGGAUCCAAGCGUUAUCCGGAUUCAUUGGGUUUAAAGGGUGCGUAGGCGGGUUUAUAAGUCAGUGGUGAAAGCCGAUCGCUUAACGAUCGAACUGCCAUUGAUACUGUAGACCUAGAGUAUAGAUGAUGUUGGCGGAAUAUGACAUGUAGCGGUGAAAUGCAUGGAUAUGUCAUAGAACACCGAUUGCGAAGGCAGCUGACAAAACUAUAACUGACGCUGAUGCACGAAAGUGCGGGGAUCAAACAGG
rnacentral:rRNA from 1 species